UACGUAGGGUGCAAGCGUUGUCCGGAAUUAUUGGGCGUAAAGAGCUCGUAGGCGGUCUGUUACGUCGGCUGUGAAAACCUGGGGCUCAACCCCGGGCCUGCAGCCGAUACGGGCAGACUAGAAUUCGGUAGGGGAGACUGGAAUUCCUGGUGUAGCGGUGAAAUGCGCAGAUAUCAGGAGGAACACCGAUGGCGAAGGCAGGUCUCUGGGCCACUACUGACGCUGAGAAGCGAAAGCAUGGGGAGCGAACAGG
rnacentral:rRNA from 1 species